rnacentral:tRNA from 1 species
GUUGGAGCUCAGUGGUAAAGCACUUGCCUCGUACAUGUGAGGUACUGGGUUCAAUCCUCAGUACAACA